AUAUAUAUAUAUAUAUAUAUAUGGAUAGAUAUUCACUCAUUUCUUCUUGUUCUGUCAACUAAGAGGAACUAGCAGCAAUGAUAGCCCAGCAACAAUGAGCAUACCUAGCACCCAGAUCUUGGUUUCUAACACCAUUAGCCAAUCAAGGAAACAAGGGCUCCUUGGAGAAAUGGCUGCUUUAGGACAGGGCGUGAAAUAUGCAAGAUGAACCUGGUACUAAACAGCUUAUAGUUCAAGAAAGUGAGGAAGUGCUCAAAACAAUAGCAAUAAAAACACCAUGAUGCAGUAUGUCUCAUAAACGAGAAAUGAAGAGGCUUAACAUGAGUUUGGUGGACAGGCACUGACCACUCAUUAAAACCAGGUGCUUGGCCCUGAUGGCUGACCCAAUACACUUUGUUGUGCCAGGGUUUGUGCUGCAUAUCUUCUUGCUGCUCUUGUGAGUUGGUGAGACCUGGAUUCCUCUCCUUCAUUUCACAACUAUAGCAACUUGCCUGGGAUUCCACAGCCCAGUUUUGAAGACAGGGGCAACUUGAAAUGAGGAGAGUAAAAAAUAAAUCACAUUUCCAAGGAGAAAAUCAAGUCGUUGCAACUCAAUUAUUAAUGUGCAGAACUGUUAUGUAAUGUAGCAGCCCAAUUAACAGGUGUCUCUCGGGGAAUAAUCAAGGCUUAAUUUGGCAUGAUAAUUAGUAACCUCCCUUCUCAGCUUUGGAUGGGGGCCCCUGCAGGACAGCAUGAUGGCUGGUAAUGAGGCAGUAUCACUUACUUUGCAGCCGUGUUAAUUGUAUCUUUCUGCGCAUGGGAACAAAACAGAUUUACCUGUUUCUAGAUGCUGGGAUGUGCCACUAAUCUAAUAGACUUGUACUUUUUUUCUGGUCUUGCCAACCCAGACCUUUUUGAAGGGCAACACUGUUACACAUUUGAGACUUCUUUAAUUGGCUGGGUUGUUAUAAUUGCUACAUUGUAGCCUUUUUCCCCUGAUAGUCUGGAUAGCAGAGUUUCAGUCUUAAAAGAUGUAUGGCCAGAGUUGACAGGCUCUUAGAAAUAUCUGGGAGUUGUCCUCUUGCCUGUACCUGUAAUAAUAGGUGACCACAGUCACCCUAGCAAAGACAUCUAUUUCCCCCUUGUGUCCCAGGGCACCCUUCUUUGUUACAAUAAAGCGCUAGAUGUAUGGGCAACCUGAAUAGUCACAGAAAACAAAAACAAAAUAACUUUGUUGUGUUAUUUUUACAAAAAGAAAAAAGCAUAAAGCAGAAAGAAAUACCAAUCAUUAGUCAUCCUUCAACUGAGAGGUAAGCAUUAUUAUUUUGAUAUGAUAUCUUUCCAUAUUACACACACAUGUAUGUUCACAUAGAGCUAUUUAUACAGAUGUGAUAUCUGUUUGCACAACUAGGAUUGUGCAUGCAUACUAUUUUGUUAACAUAGUGUCUGAUCUCAGCAACAGAUUUUGAACCAAGUCUGCACUAGGUUUUCCUAAAAUUUCUUCCUCUGAAGUUUAGUACCCGCUGGUCUGUGCUCUGAGAAUUAAGCUGAGACAAUAUAUAUAUUUUUUUUCUCCCUCUUGGUAGCACACAAUGAACAUCCCUGUAUUAAAGUUUUUGUUAAAAUGUAAAAAUGUUAUUCAGGGAAAUUACUAUUGUUUCCCUUAAUUACAAGACAAGAGCGCUGACAACCAUUUUUUUAAACUAUACUCCAUAAAAUGAUAUUGAAGAUCUAAAUAGUUUUCCAUCUUUGUUUUAUUUUGUUUUGCUAUUUAAAUAUCACCACAGUGAACAUCCUUACAUAUACAUCUUUGUGUAUAUCUAAUAUGUUCUUAGAACUAAUUUGUAGAAGAGCCAGAGGUCACCACAUAUGCAUAUUUUAAGGUUUCAAACCAGCUUAGGUGAAUUGCUCUCUCCAAAAAUCGCAUGUAUUUACAAACCUGCAAGACACAUGUAAGACCAUCCCUACCCCCUUUCUGCUUUGAAGUACACUUUUAAUUCCAGGUUAUACAACUUUAGUGAUGAUAUAGGAGACAAAAUGAGAAAGUUUAUUAAAUUCUUAUUUAUGUAUUCAAUUUGCAUCAGCCUUUUACUUCCCUAAGCUCAAGGCACCACACAGAAACAUUGAACUUGUAACUCUUGGCUGUGUGAGUCUAAGAGAGGGGAUGAGGGGAGGAUGGAGGAAAUGGAUAAAAUCUAGGAAUAAUAAUCAGUUCAAACUCUUGAGGAUCACACGAGGUACAAGCUCAAAACCCUAGGUCCAGGCGGAAGGCCGUUUACUAUUCCUCAUCUUGGUUUCCUCCUGCAUGGGUUGUAGGAAAGGCUGCAGUGAAGUUUUGUGUUUCUUUUCUGCCCAGGGACACCUGGCGGAUGGAGCAGGCAGGUUGCGGCUGAAGGUCAAGCCCGUCUUCUCCCACUAAGCCCUGCCCUCUUGGUGCUGAGUGCUGCCAAAGGAGCCACCACCGCUUUCCGCUGUGCACAAAGUCACUGGGUGGGCCAGCAGAGGCCCGGAGGGUGGUUACAAACAGACACACCCCCACAAGCAAAACCCACCACCUUGAGCCCAUAAUCUAUUUUCUUACUCUCCAUCUCUUUUCUUUAAUGAGAUGGCAUUCCCCUGACCAGUGUGGCUUAGUUGGUGUUUCUCUCCCUCCCCUUCUCCCGCCCUUCCCCUCUUUCUAAAAAUAAAUGCAUAAAGUCUUAAGAAAAAAAUGAGGUGAGAGUUAACUUCUAAAAUGAUACAUUUUUUGUAGCUAAUAGCUUUGUGAAAAAUGUUUCUUUCUUCAGACACCACCCAAGGAGGGGCCAUGAAGAUGUUUCUGCAAUGUUCCUCCCACCCCGGUGUUGGACAAUUUCAUGCCAAUAUUUUCCCCCAAUGAUUUGAGAUGCUCUUAAUUGCUUUACUGGAGGGAAAUAAAACACCUUUUAAGCCAACAGCUGAGCAAUUUGCUAUGACAAUUCUGCCACUAUGCAUUCACUUAAUUUCCAAUUAAUCAAACAUUCAAUAAAUCAUUAGUAUAAUUACACCUGCUCCCAUCGUCUUGCCCCAGCACAUUAGCUCAACUCAGGCAACCCCCCUGGACUGGCUGUGGGAAACGUGUUCAUUUGUCUGCCCUGGAUGGGUGCGCAGCCUCGCUCCCUGUGAGCCUUGAAAAAUGACGGGGAAGAAACUGUAAUUAUUUCAGGCAACAGAAGUUUGCUUGGUUUCCCUCUUCUCGGCUCCUCACUCCAAUGCUUCCCCAACAACUAAAGCCAACAUCGUAGCAUCCUGGUAGCGGUGGCUGGUUAAUUUCAGCAAGUGGUUUUAAAAAUCAUUUUUAUUUCCAGACUGUGCCUCUUUUCUAAUUACACUAUCUCCCCAGGUGAGCGAUAAUUCCCUCAUCACCACAGAUCUGAAGCACGGAUUAUUAAAAUAAUAUAGCUUAUGCCAUAUAAAUGUAGCAGAAAGUAUCUUAAAGAUGUUCCAUUGAAAGCCGGUAAAUUGGUUCAACAGAUGAAUGUUUUAGGGCCUGUUUUUAAAAAGUUGCACAAGUAUAAACCCACUUGAAUUACGGCUGUAGUUUCACACCAGCGGUUGCAAUUAUUUUAAACAUCUAACUGCGCAAAAGACAGAUCUGUAAGGGAAAGAGCUAAAUUCUCUGAGAUUAAUUAAAGGGUUUCAUUUUGCUCUUGAUUUAAAAAUAAAUUUCAAGUAUGCAUCACUUGUUGUUCUCUUGAAGAAUUUGCAUUACAGGGUUUAACCAAAAAACAAAGUACUGAGAGUGUUAAGCUUCAUGAGUUCUUCAUACAAUGUAGCUGGAAGCUCAUAAAGAGAAGGGCGGACCUAUUGUUGCUACAGCACAUUCUCUACAUGCUUCUUUGUACCUUUUCAUUUGUGAAGGGUAUUAAUCUUAAAACUCAUUUCCAGUGUAAGAUUGUGCAUUUACAUGAAUUUCCCAUAAAAUUGCUCCUGAUUCGAUCUCUGCCCAUUGAUUUAAUUUCUUUUACCUCUCAGAGCCAGUGGUGCUGAAGGGUUUAUGGUAAUUAUAGUGUUGUGGGUUUCAGUGGAAUAGUUCCUUGGUAUCUUAAGUGUGGGUUUGAUUCUCUCUCUCUAAGCUCGCUCAGCCCUGGAGAUGGUGCAGCAAAUGUCUCUGAGGCAGGGAGCUCACAAGCCAGAUCAGAAUGCUGGAUGGUACACAGCUGAGAGUCAAGGGAAGCUGGAGAGGGAAUGGCCUGCGGCUACUGGCCAGAUGGAUGGCUGUUCUAAGGGGCCCUUUAAGGUGAAUCACUUGGCAAUUUUGUGAGUUGGCAGAAGGUACAGCCACCUGUGCUCAACGUGAAAUGAGAUACAGGCAACCUACUGGUCUGAAAUAUGCUGCUCGCCCUUUGAGAGAUGGCACAGUGUUACAAGAGGUGAUUUUCCUAAUAGUAGGGUGUAGGGGGAGGCAACCACAGCAAAAGUAUUGUGAGUUUUGAGUAGGACUGACUAGGGUUCAAAUUCUCAAAACCCCAAUUCUUAUCUGUAAUAGCACUGUCUAAUAGAACAUGGUGUAACCUGCAUAUGUCAUUUUAGUUUUUUCUAGUAGCCACAUUAAAAAAAAGAAACAG